UCCUACGGGAGGCAGCAGUGGGGAAUCUUGCGCAAUGGGCGAAAGCCUGACGCAGCGACGCCGCGUGAGUGAUGAAGGCCUUCGGGUUGUAAAGCUCUGUGGGGCGAGACGAAUAAGUGCAGCCUAAUACGUUGCAUGAUGACGGUAUCGCCUUAGCAAGCACCGGCUAACUCUGUGCCAGCAGCCGCGGUAAGACAGAGGGUGCAAACGUUGUUCGGAAUUACUGGGCGUAAAGCGAGUGUAGGCGGUCUCAUAAGUCGGGUGUGAAAGCCCCGGGCUCAACCCGGGAAGUGCACUCGAAACUGCGAGGCUAGAGUAUCGGAGAGGUUGGUGGAAUUCUCGGUGUAGAGGUGAAAUUCGUAGAUAUCGAGAGGAACACCGGUGGCGAAGGCGGCCAACUGGACGAAUACUGACGCUGAGACUCGAAAGCGUGGGGAGCAAACAGGAUUAGAUACCCUGGUAGAACC
rnacentral:rRNA from 1 species